ensembl:lncRNA
GGAGGUCUGUGUUCUGGUUUAAUGUGGGUGAUAUGGUGAUGUUUCCACCAUCGUUGCUUAACUAUUUACAUAAUCAGAAUUACGUAAGUGACAUGGAAAAGCCACUGACUACCUCUGACAGCCAUGAAUAAAAGACAGGGACUAUAACAAAUGUAGUAAUCACAGCCAUGAAUAAAAGUUAGUCACCAAAACAGUAAUCAAUAAGCUGAAACAUGUGGAUCCCUCUUUGGCCCUCUGGCCCAGGGGCUAUUAUCUACAGAACUUUAGCACGUCAGAUGUGUCAACAACAAAGUGUUCCAGAACGGAACCCCCAGUCAGGGUGAAGGUGACAGCAUCUUGUUUUGUGUCUGUAGUUUGUUUCUCAGGAGGACCACCCUGGAUAAACUUCACAUACUGUAGAUAGUGAACCUGGGACUGCCCAGAGAUAAUGCAGAGAUAAUAAAGAAACAGUCAGACUGACACCUGAUCUUUAACUGGAGGGACACAUGUUGCAAGGACCAAACAGCUGUCUUGUUCUUAGAUGUCUGAGGCAUUGACCUGCUCACUGUCUUAGUCUACCUGGUUUCUCCACUGAGGCUUCUCAAGCCAGCAUGAGUGUCUGGAGUACUUUCUGAGGUCCUGGACUCCUCUACGUCUGGAGUAUGCCUGAGGUCCUGGACGCCUCUACGUUGGGAAUAUGCCUGAGGUCCUGGACGCCUCUACGUCGGGAAUAUGCCUGAGGUCCUGGACGCCUCUACGUCGGGAAUAUGCCUGAGGUCCUGGACGCCUCUACGUCUGGAGUAUCCCUGAGGUCCUGGACGCCUCUACGUCUGGAGUAUGCUUGAGGUCGUGGUCGCCUCUAUGUCUGGAGUAUGCCUGAGGUCCUGGACUCCUCUACGUCUGGAGUAUGCCUGAGGUCCUGGACUCCUCUACGUCUGGAGUAUGUGUGUCGUCGCCCCCCCUCCCCGAGUGUGCGGGAACUCCAUAGUGGGCUGUGUGGGGAAGCUCAGUGUGUCCCCCGGCCAGACACGAAGACUAGAAGCUUCUUGACGGUCAGAGACUCACAUCCCUGAAGAAGACACAAACAAAGACAAUAUGACCUAGGAUGAAUCUUGAGAGGCUGACGUACUUCUCCUAAACAUAAUGCAUUACUAUUCAUAUAUAAAAACAUUCUCUCCUUGAUCUCCUCUAUUAUGCCUGUUUCCAGGACCCAGAUUCAGCCGUGUCCUGGACUAAAAAUCAUCCAUGAUGAUUAAUCAGUUGCAUUGAAGAUUGAUGACAUUUUCCUUACACUCCACCCCAAUAAGCCAGUCCCUCCAGUAGCCAUACGUUAUGUUCUCAGCUAUUCUCUCAUCACUACCGGGGGCUGAGAAGUUCACGUGGAAGAGCGUGAGGUCUACUGCAGAGAGAGGUCUGGCUAGUAAUAUCUGCUUGAAUACAGCAGGAUGCCUCUAGCAAGCCCAAUGUAGCCAGUCCUCCUUUCAUUUGGUUUAAACAACAAAAAGGACAACACAGAGUGAGGGACACAAGAGACUGAGCUCAUAAAAGUAAUUACUGUAAAGGGUUUUAUCUCACAGCAGUGCCAAAAGUGACUAGGCCCAACUCAGCAGUUAUUGUACAAAACAUACUUAAUGGUCCACAUGACAACCAAACAUCCAAAUAGCCCCUCGCAGCAAACCGCACAAUGUCUUCCCUGUCCUCCCAUGUUUGGACAGGGCUGAGGACCCCCAGCGGACGCAGAAUUAAAGACUCCUCCUCCAUGACCUCACUAGCAGCCUCCAGGGUUGUGGCCGCCUUAAGCUGUGGGUUGAAUGACACGAUAUCACAAUGCAAAUCACAACCCCAGGCCUGUAUUCACAAAGCAUCUCAGAGUAGGAGUGCUGAUCUAGGAUCAGUUUCCCAUUUUAGAUCAUAAUGAAUAAGAAUAUACAGGUCACUGCCAAAAUAAAGGAAACACUUACUGCCUUUGUCAGUCGAUAGGAACAUUCGCCCGAGCUAUUUAGGAGGGAUAUCACACCUGGCACAAAUGGUUGUCUAGUUCUGUUUUUCCUGCUGAGGGGUGCUCUAUACCUGCGCCCAGAGGGGAGUAGUUCAACGUCCAGGUACAGGGGGUGGCUUGGGUCUAAAAUGAUUUUGUGAGCCUUGUGGAGGGCCCUGACCUUAAAGAUCUCAUCCAGACCUGUCUGUUUGACUCCAAGUACCUUGCUUGCUGUGGUAAUAAUCCUUCUCAGCAUAUUUCUCAGGCUGACAGUGGCAUUGCCAAACCAACAAACAUGAAAACAAUGUAAGCCAUAUGAUGUGUCCGUCUCAGUCACCAGAUCUCAACCCAAUUGAACACAUAUGGAAGAUUCUGGAGCAGAGCCUGAGACAGCAUUUUCCACCACAAUCAACAAAACACCAAAUGAUGGAAUUUCUCAUGGAAGAAUGGU